rnacentral:rRNA from 1 species
GGCAAAAGCCUGAUGCAGCCAUGCCGCGUGUGUGAAGAAGGCCUUCGGGUUGUAAAGCACUUUCAGCGAGGAGGAAAGGGAUGUAGUUAAUAACUGCAUUCUGUGACGUUACUCGCAGAAGAAGCACCGGCUAACUUCGUGCCAGCAGCCGCGGUAAUACGAGGGGUGCAAGCGUUAAUCGGAAUUACUGGGCGUAAAGCGUGCGUAGGUGGUUUGUUAAGCAAGAUGUGAAAGCCCCGGGCUCAACCUGGGAACUGCAUUUUGAACUGGCAAACUAGAGUAUUGUAGAGGGUAGUGGAAUUUCCAGUGUAGCGGUGAAAUGCGUAGAGAUUGGAAGGAACAUCAGUGGCGAAGGCGGCUACCUGGACAAAUACUGACACUGAGGCACGAAAGCGUGGGGAGCAAACAGGAUUAAAUACCCUGGUAGUCCACGCCGUAAACGAUGUCAACUAGCCGUCUGUGACCUUGAGUCGUGGGUGGCGCAGCUAACGCACUAAGUUGACCGCCUGGGGAGUACGGCCGCAAGGUUAAAACUCAAAUGAAUUGACGGGGGCCCGCACAAGCGGUGGAGCAUGUGGUUUAAUUCGAUGCAACGCGAAGAACCUUACCAUCCCUUGACAUCCAGAGAAGAGACUAGAGAUAGACUUGUGCCUUCGGGAACUCUGUGACAGGUGCUGCAUGGCUGUCGUCAGCUCGUGUUGUGAAAUGUUGGGUUAAGUCCCGCAACGAGCGCAACCCCUAUCCUUAUUUGCCAGCGCGUAAUGGCGGGAACUCUAAGAAGACUGCCGGUGAUAAACCGGAGGAAG